GGGGCUGGGGCUCAGUGGUAGAGCACUUGCCUGGCAUGUGAGGCACUGGGUUCGAUUCUCAGCACCA
rnacentral:tRNA from 1 species